UAAUAUAGACCAUGUCAUAAUUUUAAAAUAAAAUUUUCUUUUAGCUCAGAUUUGUGGUCACGAAACCACUGUUCCAAUUUCACUGAAAAUAGGCUGUUACAAAUGAAGUGCGAUUCUAAUGGAGGAGGAGCAUGCACAGAAUAUCAACCCUUCAACCCUAGCAUCCAGGAGGAACAAGUCCAAUAUAUGGGUAACAAUAACUCUAGAUCCCAAAAUAACCCAUGUAAUGCCCAAUUUUAGCCCGAACCCAACACUAAAAAUAAACAAUUUAAAAACACAAAAAGAUGAAGAAGAAAACCAAAAAGAUGUCCACAGUCCAGGUCUUUAGUACAAAACAGCCCAAAUACACUAUACAAGCCCAACAUUCAAGACCCUUUUUACAAAUAAUAAAAAACAGCCCAAAACAUUUACAUUAACCCUAACCCAAUACCCCAUGGCCCAAAAUAGAAGCAUAGCCAGGAACCCUAGCAGCUUCUACUUGCGCCGCAACGACCCCAGCCCUAGCGCCACCUCCGUACGGCCUCCACGUCUUCGUACCAGCAUACCACGCUUACAGACGGCCUUGUACCUGCAAAAGGACAAAAGAAAAGCAGAAUAAAUGGUAGCAAAAAAGGACAAAAAUGAAUAUUGUAUUUUUCUUUUCGUUUCGGUUAUAAAAAGAGAAAUCAAAAAAUUGUAAAAGGGGGACUUCCUCUAAAAAAAGGGAUAAAGAUACAAAAAAUAUAUACAGAGACGAUUAGCCAAAGAAACAUUGUUAAAGGUGUUCCAUUUUUUGCUCAUUUGCUAUUUUUAUUUAUUUAUUUUUGAAUCUAUUGCAUAAAUACGUAAAAUGGGAGGAUUUCUACCUUGGUUUUGGUGUUGCUAAUCGUUUACUUCUCCGGUUCGAAGGUGAACGGAUCCUUGCGGAUUCGGUUAGAGCCUCGGUGGUGGUGGAGGCGUAUUACGCGCCGGUGAAACCCAACAGUCGACUGAGAAUGCGGAGGGGUUGAAGAGUUUAAAGAAAAAUGGGGGUUUUGAAAUCUGUUUUGGAAGAACAAUCAGCCAAAUGAAUGUUUUAGGGCAAAGUUUUAGUUUACAUACAUAUUCAAAAUGGCGUCGUUUUAUGCCUGGAGUGUUGGCAUUGAAACGGCAUCGUUUCAUGAAAAAACCCGAUGACCCGCCCAUGUACGAUCAGACCCACGUGUUUUGGUUAUUAAGGGUUAUUUCACAAAUGGUCCUUCCUCUUUUGCGCUAACAUUUGAUUAAGUCUUAUUCACAUUUCUAUGUUUUAAAUUUGCCCAUGUAAUUUGCAUUUUGUUUCAAAUAAAUCCGUGUUUAAACACUGCGCUUUAGGAUUUGGGACAUUUUCAUUUUUAAUCCUCGUUUGUUCGAGCGCGUUAAGCUUUAGUCCUUCUUCUAAUUGCAGUAGCUUAUUUUAUUUAUUAAUUAUCUUUUUAGUUUAAUCUUAUUUUAAUUGAGUCCUUUUGAUUUGUAUAAUUCAUUUUUUAUUCUUUUUUAUUUAUUCAAUACUUAUUUUAUAUAUGAAUGUAUAUAUAUUUGAGUUAUUAAGAUAUUCUUUAGUUUUGUAUAUUGUAUGGUUUUAAAGAUUUUGUAUAAUAUAUCUUCCAAGUUUUCUU
rnacentral:lncRNA from 1 species